rnacentral:rRNA from 1 species
UACGUAGGAUCCAAGCGUUGUCCGGAUUUACUGGGUGUAAAGGGUGCGCAGGCGGACUGGUUAGUCUGGGGUGAAAUCUCAUCGCUCAACGGUGAAACUGCCUUAGAUAUUGCCAGUCUUGAAUUAGGGAGAGGUUCGUGGAAUUCCGAGUGUAGCAGUGAAAUGUGUAGAUAUUCGGAAGAACACCAGUGGCGAAGGCAGCGAACUGGCCCUUAAUUGACGCUCAGGCACGAAAGCAUGGGGAUCAAACAGG